rnacentral:rRNA from 1 species
UCAAGCUUGCUUGGUGGUGAUUGAGUGGCGGACGGGUGAGUAACGCGUGGGUAACCUGCCUCAUACAGGGGGAUAGCAGUUGGAAACGACUGGUAAAACCGCAUAAGCGCACAGUGCUGCAUGGCACAGUGUGAAAAACUCCGGUGGUAUGAGAUGGACCCGCGUCUGAUUAGCUGGUUGGCGGGGUAACGGCCCACCAAAGCGACGAUCAGUAGCCGACCUGAGAGGGUGACCGGCCACAUUGGGACUGAGACACGGCCCAAACUCC